rnacentral:tRNA from 1 species
GGGCGCCUGGACCGGCGAGGACCUCGCGCUGCGCGAGCGCGAGCCGUGGUUCGACCCGGCGGGCUUCUUCC